rnacentral:rRNA from 1 species
CAUCCCGAACAUAGCGGAGAGGAAACACCCGUUCCCAUCCCGAACACGGAAGUUAAGCUCUCCAGCGCCGAUGGUAGUUGGGGCCAGCGCCCCUGCAAGAGUAGGUCGUUGCUAGGC